AUGCACUGUGACACACACACGGUCACACACUCACACACAUGGUUACACUCGCACAUGCGUUCACACUCUCACACACAUGGUUACAUGGUCACACUCACGGUCACACACACACUCACACACGUGUUCACACUCACACACCCGGACACACUUACACAUGGUUACAUGGUCACACUCACGGUCACACUCGUGAUGACACUCACACACAUGGUCACAAUCACACACUCAUGGUUACAUGGUCACACUCUCUCUCACACACACACACACACACACACACGUGGUCACACUCAGACACACGGUCACACUCACAAAUGUGGUCACACACACACACACCCGGUCACACUCACACACAGUCACACUCACACACACAUGGUUACAUGGUCACAGUCACACACAGUCACACUCACACACAGUCACACUCAGUCACACACACACACACAGUCACACUCACAGUCACACUCACACAGUCACACUCACACACAGUCACACUCACACACAGUCACACACACACACAGUCACACACAUUCACACAUGGUUACAUGGUCACACACACACACAGUCACACACAUUCACACAUGGUUACAUGGUCACACACACAGUCACACUCACACACAGUCACACACACACACACAUGGUUACAUGGUCACACACACAGUCACACUCACACACAGUCACACACACACACAGUCACACACAUUCACACAUGGUUACAUGGUCACACACACAGUCACACACAUUCACACAUGGUUACAUGGUCACACACACAGUCACACUCACACUCAGUCACACUCACACACAGUCACACUCACACACACACGGUUACAUGGUCACACACACACGGUUACAUGGUCACACACACAGUCACACUCACACACACAGUCACACUCACACACACAUGGUUACAUGGUCACACACACACAGUCACACACACACACUCGGUCACACACUCAGUCACACACACACACUCGGUCACACUCACACUCACACACACACACACACAUGGUUACAUGGUCACACUCACACACAGUUACACUCACACUCAGUCACACACAGUCACACUCACACACUCAGUCACACUCACACACACAUGGUUACAUGGUCACACACACAGUCACACUCACACACAGUCACACUCACAUACAGUCACACACACACACACACACACAGUCACACACACACACACUCGGUCAUACACACACACACAUGGUUACAUGGUCACACACACAGUCACACUCACACACAGUCACACACACACACAGUCACACACAUUCACACAUGGUUACAUGGUCACACACACAGUCACACUCACACACAGUCACACACACACACAGUCACACACAUUCACACAUGGUUACAUGGUCACACACACAGUCACACACAUUCACACAUGGUUACAUGGUCACACACACAGUCACACUCACACUCAGUCACACUCACACACAGUCACACUCACACACACACGGUUACAUGGUCACACACACAGUCACACUCACACACACAGUCACACUCACACACACAUGGUUACAUGGUCACACACACACAGUCACACACACACACUCGGUCACACACUCAGUCACACACACACACUCGGUCACACUCACACUCACACACACACACAUGGUUACAUGGUCACACUCACACACAGUUACACUCACACUCAGUCACACACAGUCACACUCACACACUCAGUCACACUCACACACACAUGGUUACAUGGUCACACACACAGUCACACUCACACACAGUCACACUCACAUACAGUCACACUCACAUACAGUCACACACACACACACACACACACAGUCACACACACACACACUCGGUCAUACACACACACACAUGGUUACAUGGUCACACACACAGUCACACUCACACACAGUCACACUCACACACACACACACACACUCGGUCACACACUCGGUCACACUCACACACACACACACACACACACAUGGUUACUUGUGUGUCAAUUAUUCCACUUAUUCCAAAGUAACCACGCCUCAAGACAUCGAUCAGAUGAUAUAUUUAAAGGAAUCCAUCAGGUUUUUGUUCAUAAAUGGCUAUUGUGAGUAG
rnacentral:lncRNA from 1 species